GACAGCGUAGUGUAAUGGUUAAGGAGUUGGUCUUGCAACCUAAUGGUCGCCGGUUCGAUUCCCCACCCAGGACGCUGCCG
rnacentral:tRNA from 1 species